UACAGAGGGUGCAAGCGUUGUUCGGAAUUAUUGGGCGUAAAGCGCGUGUAGGCGGCGUGACAAGUCGGGUGUGAAAAGCCCUCAGCUCAACUGAGGAAGUGCGCCCGAAACUGUCGUGCUUGAGUGCCGGAGAGGGUGGCGGAAUUCCCCAAGUAGAGGUGAAAUUCGUAGAUAUGGGGAGGAACACCGGUGGCGAAGGCGGC
rnacentral:rRNA from 1 species